rnacentral:lncRNA from 1 species
UUGAACCAUUUACUGUAAACGGGAAGCGUCUAAAACAUUAUCAUUAUGCCGAGAACAAUGAAGAUUCACAAGUCCUGCACUUAGACGUAAUGCCUCCAGAAUUUAUUGAUUAUAUUUGAUAGUUUCUAUGUCGAGCUUGCGACAUUAAACAAAGCGCUUCGUGGGAGACAACCCACAAAUAUUUUUUUAUUUUUAUUUCUUCUUUGAUUAUUCUUUUAA